rnacentral:rRNA from 1 species
UACGGGGGGAGCAAGCGUUGUUCGGAUUUACUGGGCGUAAAGGGCGCGUAGGCGGUCACUACAAGUCGGUUGUGAAAUCUCUGGGCUUAACUCAGAACGGUCAACUGAUACUGUUGGACUAGAGUGCAGAAGGGGCAACUGGAAUUCUCGGUGUAGCGGUGAAAUGCGUAGAUAUCGAGAGGAACACCUGCGGCGAAGGCGGGUUGCUGGGCUGACACUGACGCUGAGGCGCGAAAGCUAGGGGAGCGAACGGG